rnacentral:rRNA from 1 species
UACGGGGGGGAGCAAGCGUUGUUCGGAUUUACUGGGCGUAAAGGGCGCGUAGGCGGUCGUGACAAGUCACUUGUGAAAUCUCCGGGCUUAACUCGGAACGGUCAAGUGAUACUGUCGGACUAGAGUACAGAAGGGGCAACUGGAAUUCUCGGUGUAGCGGUGAAAUGCGCAGGAUAUCGGGGAGGAACACCUAUGGCGAAGGCAGCUCGCUGGGACGUUACUGACGCUGGAGACGCGAAAGCGUGGGGAGCAAACAGG